rnacentral:rRNA from 1 species
AACGAACGCUGGCGGCAGGCUUAACACAUGCAAGUCGAACGCCCCGCAAGGGGAGUGGCAGACGGGUGAGUAACGCGUGGGAAUCUACCCAGAUCUUCGGAACAACACAGGGAAACUUGUGCUAAUACCGGAUACGCCCUACGGGGGAAAGAUUUAUCGGUUCUGGAUGAGCCCGCGUUGGAUUAGCUAGUUGGUGAGGUAAUGGCUCACCAAGGCGACGAUCCAUAGCUGGUCUGAGAGGAUGAUCAGCCACACUGGGACUGAGACACGGCCCAGACUCCUACGGGAGGCAGCAGUGGGGAAUAUUGGACAAUGGGCGAAAGCCUGAUCCAGCCAUGCCGCGUGAGUGAUGAAGGCCUUAGGGUUGUAAAGCUCUUUUAGUGGGGAGGAUAAUGACGGUACCCACAGAAAAAGCCCCGGCUAACUUCGUGCCAGCAGCCGCCGUAA